AUGAAGGUUUUGAGUUGGAAUUGUAAUGUACUGGGGAACGCCCCGGCGGUUCGUGCCUUGCUGGACGUCCAGCGAAGAUGCCAACCUGAUGUGUUGUUUUUGUCGGAGACACACCUAGAUAGCUACCCGGCUGAAGGCUUGAGGAGAAGAUUGAAGAUGGAUCAGAAACUUGUGUGCCCUAGUGAUGGUAGGAAGGGAGGGUUAUUGCUGUUU
rnacentral:rRNA from 1 species